rnacentral:rRNA from 1 species
UACGGGGGGGGCAAGCGUUGUUCGGAAUUACUGGGCGUAAAGGGCUCGUAGGUGGCCAACUAAGUCAUACGUGAAAUCCCUCGGCUUAACCGGGGAACUGCGUCUGAUACUGGAUGGCUUGAGGUUGGGAGAGGGAUGCGGAAUUCCCGGUGUAGUGGUGAAAUGCGUAGAUAUCGGGAGGAACACCAGUGGCGAAGGCGACUUCCUGGCCUGUUCUUGACGCUGAGGCGCGAAAGCUAGGGGAGCAAACGGG